rnacentral:rRNA from 1 species
GUUGAACGCUGGCGGCGUGCCUAAUACAUGCAAGUCGAGCGAACAGACGAGGCGCUUGCUUCUCUGACGUGAGCGGCGGACGGGUGAGUAACACGUGGAUGACCUACCGAUAGGGCUGAGAUAAGGUCGGGAAACCGGAUCUAAUACCGGAUAAGAGAGUGAACCUGAGGGUUCUUUGGUCAUAGACGGUUUUGCUGAGCCUUAUACAGGUAUCCGAGUCGCAUUAGCUAGUUGGUAAGGUAACGGCUUACCAAGGCAACGAUGCGUAGCUGACCUGAGAGGAUGAUCAGUCACACUGGAACUGAGACACGGUCCAGACUCCUACGGGAGGCAGCAGUGGGGAAUAUUCCGCAAUGGGCGAAAGCCUGACCCAGCCAUGCCGCGUGAGUGAUGAAGGUCUUCGGAUUGUAAAACUCUGUUAUUAGGGAAGAACAAAAGUGUAAGUAUACCUUGCCGUCUUGACGGUACCUACAGAGAAAGCCCCGGCUAACUACGUG